rnacentral:rRNA from 1 species
CCUACGGGGGGCAGCAGUAGGGAAUAUUGCUCAAUGGGGGGAACCCUGAAGCAGCAACGCCGCGUGGAGGAUGAAGGUUUUAGGAUUGUAAACUCCUUUUGUGAGAGAAGAUAAUGUCGGUAUCUCACGAAUAAGCAACGGCUAACUCCGUGCCAGCAGCCGCGGUAAUACGGAGGGUGCAAGCGUUACUCGGAAUCACUGGGCGUAAAGUGUGCGCAGGCGGGCAUGUAAGUCAGAUGUGAAAUCCUGUAGCUUAACUACAGAACUGCAUUUGAAACUAUGAGUCUAGAGUGUGGGAGAGGUAGGUAGAAUUCUUGGUGUAGGGGUAAAAUGCGUAGAUAUCAAGAGGAAUACUCAUUGCGAAGGCGGCCUGCUAGAACAUAACUGACGCUGAUGCGCGAAAGCGUGGGGAGCAAACAGGAUUAGAUACCCCUGUAGUC